rnacentral:rRNA from 1 species
UACAGAGGUCUCAAGCGUUUGUUCGGAUUCAUUGGGCGUAAAGGGUGCGUAGGCGGCGCGGUAAGUCGGGUGUGAAAUCUCGGAGCUUAACUCCGAAACUGCAUUCGAUACUGCCGUGCUUGAGGACUGGAGAGGAGACUGGAAUUUACGGUGUAGCGGUGAAAUGCGUAGAUAUCGUAAGGAAGACCAGUGGCGAAGGCGGGUCUCUGGACAGUUCCUGACGCUGAGACACGAAGGUCAGGGGAGCAAACGGG